UCUUCAUUUCACACACUCUCCCACCGGUCAGAUGGACGAGAGAGUGUGUGAAAUGAAGAGA
rfam:Pristionchus pacificus strain PS312 contig2286, whole genome shotgun sequence.